rnacentral:rRNA from 1 species
CCUACGGGGGGCGGCAGUGGGGAAUAUUGCACAAUGGAGGAAACUCUGAUGCAGCAACGCCGCGUGGAGGAUGACGCAUUUCGGUGUGUAAACUCCUUUUAAGAGGGAAGAUAAUGACGGUACCUCUUGAAUAAGCACCGGCUAACUCCGUGCCAGCAGCCGCGGUAAUACGGAGGGUGCAAGCGUUACUCGGAAUCACUGGGCGUAAAGGGUGCGUAGGCUGACUUUUAAGUCAGGCGUGAAAUCCAAUGGCUUAACCAUUGAACUGCGCUUGAAACUGGGAGUCUAGAGUUCAGAAGGGGCAGAUGGAAUUAGUGGUGUAGGGGUAAAAUCCGUAGAUAUCACUAGGAAUAUCAAAAGCGAAGGCGAUCUGCUGGGAUGAUACUGACGCUGAGGCACGAAAGCGUGGGGAGCAAACAGGAUUAGAUACCCUGGUAGUCCACGCCCUAAACGAUGAAUGCUAGUCGUCGGGGAGCUCGUCUCUUCGGUGAUGCACUUAACAGAUUAAGCAUUCCGCCUGGGGAGUACGGUCGCAAGAUUAAAACUCAAAGGAAUAGACGGGGACCCGCACAAGUGGUGGAGCAUGUGGUUUAAUUCGAAGAUACACGAAGAACCUUACCUGGCCUUGACAUGGUAGGAACCCUUAAGAGAUUAGGGGGUGCUAGCUUGCUAGAACCUACACACAGGUGCUGCACGGCUGUCGUCAGCUCGUGUCGUGAGAUGUUGGGUUAAGUCCCGCAACGAGCGCAACCCUCGUCCUUAGUUGCUAACAGUUCGGCUGAGCACUCUAAGGAGACUGCCUUCGCAAGGAGGAGGAAGGUGAGGACGACGUCAAGUCAUCAUGGCCCUUACGGCCAGGGCUACACACGUGCUACAAUGGGGCGUACAAAGAGCUGCAAUACCGCGAGGUGGAGCCAAUCUCUUAAAGCGUCUCUCAGUUCGGAUUGUUCUCUGCAACUCGAGAACAUGAAGCUGGAAUCACUAGUAAUCGUAGAUCAGCUAUGCUACGGUGAAUACGUUCCCGGGUCUUGUACUCACCGCCCGUCACACCAUGGGAGUUGAUUUCACCCGAAAUCGGGAUGCCAAACUGGCUACCGCUUACGGUGGAAUUAGCGACUGGGGUGAAGUCGUAACAAGGUAACC